UAUGGGAUGGGGUCGCGUCCUAUCAGCUUGAUGGCGGGGUAACGGCCCACCAUGGCUUCGACGGGUAGCCGCCCUGAGAGGGCGACCGGCCACAUUGGGACUGAGAUACGGCCCAGACUCCUACGGGAGGCAGCAGUGGGGAAUAUUGCACAAUGGGCGCAAGCCUGAUGCAGCGACGCCGCGUGCGGGAUGACGGCCUUCGGGUUGUAAACCGCUUUUGACUGGGAGCAAGCCCUUCGGGGUGAGUGUACCUUUCGAAUAAGCACCGGCUAACUACGUGCCAGCAGCCGCGGUAAUACGUAGGGUGCAAGCGUUAUCCGGAAUUAUUGGGCGUAAAGGGCUCGUAGGCGGUUCGUCGCGUCCGGUGUGAAAGUCCAUCGCUUAACGGUGGAUCCGCGCCGGGUACGGGCGG
rnacentral:rRNA from 1 species